rnacentral:rRNA from 1 species
CGCGAAUAGCUCAUUACAACAGCUAAUAUCUACUGGAAAUAGACACAAUCCUACUUGGAUAACUGUGGUAAUUCUAGAGCUAAUACAUGCACUAAAGCUCUGACCUUCACCGGGAAGAGUGCAUUUAUUAGAACAAAACCAAGCGGCUUCGGCUGUUUUCGGUUGACUCAUAGUAACUGAGCUGAUCGCAUGGUCUUGCACCGGCGACGUGUCUUUCGAGUAUCUGCCGUAUCAACUUUCGAUGGUAGUGUAUCUGACUACCAUGGUGAUCACGCGUAACGGAGAAUAAGGGUUCGACUCCGGAGAGUUCGCCUGAGAAAUCGCGAACACAUCUAAGGAAGGCAGCAGGCGCGAAAAUUACCCACUCUCAGCACGAGGAGGUAGUGACGAAAAAUAACGAGACCGUUCUCUUAUGAGGCCGGUCAUCGGGAUGGGUACAAUUUAAACCCUUUAACGAGUAUCUAUGAGAGGGCAAGUCUGGUGCCAGCAGCCGCGGUAAUUCCAGCU